AACUUUAUUUUUACUGGUGACACUAUUACAGAUAGAUAGAACGACCACAACCAUAUUAACAAACCAAAAACCUGUGCACAGAAACAAGAUGAAAAAAUUGUAUCAGCAUGUUAACCACAGCCUUUGGAUGACAAUAUGGGUGAGUCUCUCUUCUACAUUUCUGUAACUUCCAAGUUUCUAUGAUGAACACAUACUGGGGUUAUAAUGGAAAUACAUGGAAUAAAGGUAGGUCACCAAAACACUCGGAUGAAGACCGUUCCAGAAAGCCAGGACAAAAUACUUGACCAUAAACCCACAACGACCACACAACCAUUUCUCAGCUGUUUUCCGUGUUUCUUCCCGUCUUUGACACACCACGUACUCGUCCUAAACAGCCCAACAGCCAGACCGUGCACAGGUUCGAGGUGUAAACAGCAAUGGCGACAGGUGCCAGGAGCCUGGGUGCAUUUCUUUUCUUCCACUUUCCUGAAAUCUCCCCAAAGUUUGCCAUGAGUAUGUAUUGUACUUGGAAUGGAAAAAUACAUAUGCUAAGAUUGAAUACCAAACACCUAGGAUCAUUCAAGGAAUUUGAGACAAAAUAGUUAACCAUACUCCCACAACGACAACACUGUUUUAAUUAUUUUCCGCAUGUUUUUCAUUUGAGACUGUAUGCACACAUACUUCACACUGUCAUAAUCACAAGCUUGUGCACUGAAACGAGAUGGAGGAAACACAGCAAGGUGUUUGCGGCAGUUGUUAGGUGCUGGGAAUAUGGGUGACCUUUUUUUCCUUCUCUCAUUUAUUUUGAAUUUUCCAAUUUUUCCUCUGGGUGUGUGUUAUGUUUGUAAUGGAAACACACAUAAUCAACCUUGUCAUCAGGACACCGUUAUAAGGAACAUCUGAAACGGUGAGGAUGAGCGUGUUUAAUUGUAAUUCCACGAAAGUAACAGCUAUUUGAAUACACAGCUGACACAGUUAGGAUCAUAAACCUGUGCACAGAAACGAGAAUAAACCAUAUGCUGAGGAGUAUACCUGUCUUUGGAUGGUGAGUAGAUGGAUUUUUUUUUCCCUCCACUGUUCUGUAUUUUCCAAAUUAUGUUCACAAUGGAAAAGUGAUGACAGACUUUUUAGUAACGCUACCAUAUGGAACGUUCAAGGAAUUUAAGAAAAUAAUGCUCAGCUAUAAGCAACUACAACAACACCACCACAACGGCUUUUGACUAUAAGCAUACAUUUUUAAACAGGUAUAGCUGUAGUAUAAAUAUAAUUCUGCGUCCUGUUUCUUCCACUCAGUAUUCCGUAAAUAUAUUUCCACGUUGCUACAUAACUCUUCAUGAUUAUCAUUUUUAAGCAGCUGCGUACGAUUCCACAGACAUGUUCUCUUAACUGUUUUCCUAUUUUUGGCAUUUAGACGUUGUUCCUAAUUUUCACUAACCUAAGGUUGGAACAGACACCCUGAUGUUUGGCAAGCUGCUUUCUGAAAAGGGUCUGCUACUUCGUGCUUCCAAGGGCGAUGCACCCGGGCUCACCCGGCCAACGCCAGCGCGGGCUCCGUUUCCCGGUCCCUGCGUCCCCUGGGUGUGGGUUCCAACCGCAGGUCUUUUUAUGCCGCUGGCCCUCAGUCACGCUGUGCCACCAACAAGGCCCCUUCUUCCAACCUGCCCGAGCUCUUGCCCGGUGGUUCCCACCCCUUGGCCUUCUGGUCCCUGCUUCUGCUGUCUCUCCUGUCAGCUUGUGAUCACAGGGGAAACUGAGGCCACCAGACAGACAAGAGGACAGCUGGGAGGAAGGGCCCGGCGGCAACAGAACAAAUUAAGGCUGCUGGGGAACCUGAGUCCAUGUGAAGCUCGAGUUGGCUGUCAAGAACUUCUUCUUCUUUUUUUUUUUUUAAAUAUAAGUUAGACACAGGGUCGAGGGUCAGGGUUGAGGUGAAGACGAGAAUGGAGUUUCACGGUACAAAGCUCUAAGGAUACUAGCUCCUGGGCGCCCAGGGUGCAAACAGACUUGUGGCAACACAGACGGACGGACGGAGCCACGUUGCUACUUGUCACUUAAGGCAGGAAGCGCACAAAGGAAGUGACGGAAUCGGCGCCUGCGUCCUUAUUUACAAGGUGGGAGCCUCCCCUGUGGUUCUCAACCUUCAUCAGGCACACUCGUGAUCUAGUGAUGGUUGCAACCCACUCUUUAAAGGCAAAGACGUAAGAUUUACAGGGAAAAGCUUCGGCUUUUGUGAAUUCACUCUCAAACACACACCAAGCUGGUUUCAAAAAAAAAAAAAAAACUUGUAAUAUUUUUGCACGAGAACCACUGCAGGCGACAAGGUGUGGCAACCACUAAAUCUGGGGUCACAAAAGGCCAAUCCACACACUGCAAAGGCGUAUACACAGGGUUAGGUUCCAAGGCGUCGGUGUAGACGGAACGGCUGGAAAGGAAGCUUCAAGCACUUCCUUUUCAGACAGCAAAGCACGAAAGAUGGCUUAUCUUUCAUGGCUACACCUUCAGAGGAAUAGUUAGCAGUGAGGCACAACACAAUCACUCAAAACGAUA
rnacentral:lncRNA from 1 species